rnacentral:misc_RNA from 1 species
GUGAAUCAUCGAAUCUUUGAACGCAAAUUGCACUCUCCGCGGAGAGUAUGAGUAUUUGAGGUUCAGCCUAUAUAAAAUCUACAUCGUUGCUGUUUCGCGGUGACGUUCGUCGGAGAUUGGGUCAUCUUAAAUCCUUUGUUUGUAAGCGACUUAAAAUUUUCUUUUUGGGUCCAUGAACGGUUCUAAGAUUUAUUUCUUUACACGUUUAAGGUAUCGAUUUUUAUUAGACGUGACUAUCAUAUCGGAUUGCGCAC